UGAUCUUGUGAUUGGUGGGUUUUGAGAAGUUUUGCCUCGCUUCUUGUCCUUCUUUUACAAUUUUGUCGUAAUCUGAUUGUUUUUUGAAGGAUUCUAUCUAGACGUUAAGUGACGAAUUGGUGGUCAUCGUCGUAUCUGGAAUGGUGUUUGUGUUUCUUUUAGUGGUCUUGCAUGUCGGGUUAUGAUAUCCUUGGUUCUCGAGAGAUUGGCUCUCAACGUGAUAGGAGGUGUUAAAAGAAGUGGAGUUUCUGCUUUGUUGGAUCUCUUAUUUUUUUAAGAUUUUGUCUUGUUAAUAUGGAUCUUAGUUUGUACUAUCGUCCUUUUUCGAGAUUGGUUUGAUAUUUUCUGCAUUAUAAUUUGAGUUUACUUCAUCUUCUUUAUUUAGGAUCUAGAUUCCGAAGAAUUCUCUUUUUCCGCCAGCUUAUGUUUUUUUGGGAACUUAUAGUUUAUCCGCCAAUUUAC